rnacentral:tRNA from 3 species
GCGGGCGUGGCGAAACUGGUAGACGCACUAGACUUAGGAUCUAGUGCCGCAAGGCGUGGGGGUUCGAGUCCCUUCGCCCGCAC